rnacentral:rRNA from 1 species
GACGAACGCUGGCGGCGUGCUUAACACAUGCAAGUCGAGCGGAGCGGCGAACGGGUGAGUAACGCGUGAGUAACUGCCCCCCUCUCUGGGAUAACAGUUGGAAACGGCUGCUAAUACCGGAUAGUUGGGGGGGGCCAGGGGCCUAUCAGCUUGUGGGGGGGGGGAUGGCCUACCAAGGCGGGGACGGGUAGCCGACCUGAGAGGGUGGUCGGCCACAUUGGGCGGAGAUACGUCCCAGACUCCGACGUGAGGAAGCAGUGGGGGAUAUUGCACAAUGGGCGCAAGCCUGAUGCAGCGACGCCGCGUGAGGGAUGAAGGCUUUCGGGUUGUAAACCUCUUUCGGUACAGAACGGGUAUGUGCAGAAGAAGCGCCGGCUAACUACGUGCCAGCAGCCGCGGUAAUUC